AUGGUACUAGUAAAAUAAUUACACUGUCUUGUCGAGGCAGCAUUGCAAGUUAAAGCCCUGCGUGUCAUG
rnacentral:tRNA from 2 species